CCCUUAGAUGUCCUGGGCCGCGCGCGCGCUACACUGAUGCAUUCAACGAGUAUUUCCUUGGCCGAGAGGCCUGGGCAAUCUUUUAAACCUGCAUCGUGAUAGGGAUAGAUUAUUGCAAUUAUUAAUCUUGAACGAGGAAUUCCUAGUAAACGCAAAUCAUCAAUUUGCAUUGAUUACGUCCCUGCCCUUUGCACACACCGCCCGUCGCACCUACCGAUUGAAUGGUCCGGUGAAAUCUCGGGAUUGUGGCCAGUUCACUUUAUUGGGAGUUGGCUGCGAGAACUUGCUUAAACCUUAUCAUUUAGAGGAAGGUGAAGUCGUAACA
rnacentral:rRNA from 1 species